UACGUAGGGUCCGAGCGUUGUCCGGAAUUACUGGGCGUAAAGAGCUCGUAGGUGGUUUGUCACGUUGUUCGUGAAAACCCACAGCUCAACUGUGGGCGUGCGAGCGAUACGGGCAGACUAGAGUACUGCAGGGGGAGACGUGGAAUUCCUGGUGUAGCGGUGGAAUGCGCAGAUAUCAGGAGGAACACCGGUGGCGAAGGCGGGUCUCUGGGCCGAUACUGACGCUGGACAGCGGCGAAAGCCUAGGGGAGCGAACGGG
rnacentral:rRNA from 1 species